CCCAGCUACUCCGGAGGCUGAGGCAGGAGAAUCGCUUGAACUCGGGAGGCGAAGGCUGCAGUGAACCAAGAUCGUGCCAUUGCACUCCAGCCUGGGUGACAGAGCGAGACUCCAUCUCAGGAACAAAAAGGAUGGAAUGAAGGACGAAAGGAUGAACAAACAUUUCCGGGAGAGCGCUGACAGCGGCCGAGGCUGCCCACCUGGACCUUCAAUGAUGUGGCCGUGGGCGGCGUCCACGGGACAGAAUCUCCCCGUGACUAGCACCCACUAGUUUCAUCCCAUGGGGGUGUGUGUGGGCCUGGGUUGAUGGGGUCCUGGGGGGACAGGGUCCUGCUGUGAAGCUGGACUUAAAGAGACGUUGUGCUCUCUUCCCGAGUCCCUCCCUGUCCCUCCCCUGCUCAGCCCAAGUCUGGGUAGGGCAGGAGGUGCCUGGUGUGUGCCCGCUGGCAGUGGCUCCACUGCCCACCCCACGAGACCUGAUUCAAUCCUCCCACCCCGGGCAGGGCAGGGGCAGCCCCGGGGGUCCCACAAGUACGAAACCAGUCAGGCUCAAGCAGGUCUGUCUCCCUGGACCAGUGGACCAGGUAGCAACCCUGGGCCAGGUGCUAGCCCCCUUGACAGGUGAGAAGACUGAGUCCUGGAGUGGCGUUGAGCCCUGGUGUCAUUCAUUCAUUCAACAAAUCCUCAUCAGGCUCCUGCCGUGUGUCAGGCACUGUUCUAGGCGCUGAGGAUGGCGUGGCAGAAAGACGGAGGAGCCGGGACCUCCGGAGGAUCCGUCACAGAGAGGAAGCCCAAACAAGCAUCUAAACAUAGGUGCGUUCCGAGUGUUGGCAAUAAACCAGGGUGGCCGUGUGCUCACGCCUGUCAUCCCAGCAGUUUGGGAGGCCAAGGCAGGAGGAUUGCUUGAGGCCAGGAGUUCAACACCAGCCUGGGCAACAUGGCAAAACCGUGUCUCCACAAAAAAAAACUUUAAAAAUUAGCCGGGCGUGGUGGCGUGCGCCGGGUGUCCCAGCUACUCGGGAGGCUGAAGUGGGAGGAUCACUUGAGCCCAGGAGGUCAAGGCUGCAGGGAGCCGUGAUCACGCCACUGCACCCCAGUCUGGGCAACAGAGUGAGACCCUGUCUCUAAAAAGAAAGAAAGAAAUCAGGGUGAGGGGCAGGAGCUUCUCCGAAAAGGGCAGUUAAGCAGAGAUAGCAGGAUGCCAGCUAUGUGGAGUGCAGGGGCCCCAGGAGCAGGACCAGCAAAUGCAAACGCCCGUGGCCAAGGCCCG
rnacentral:lncRNA from 10 species